AAGCAAUUUUACUGUGAACUAGAUGAGCCGCAAUUAUUUUAAUGAUGGUAGCAACAUCGUUGAGCGAUUCUCCGUACCUUUCAAAUCUACUCUCGUUUUGAUUACGGCCUCGAACAAAUCGCUACAUU